UAGCUGUUUCUCAAGAAAAGAAUUUAAGUCCAACCUAAAGUAAUUCUUGAUCCCCAUAAAUCUCCCCACCACUUUAGAGCAAUUCAAAUGAGGUACAGCCCAUUUGAUACAGGAUACAACCUUAACUAACGGGUAACAUUAAAUCUACACCCCCAAGUAGGCCUAAAAGCAGCCACCCUUUAAAAAGCGUCAAAGCUUAAUCAUGUUAGUAUCAAUUUUAAACCUUCCAUUGACCCCUUUAACUUUACUGAGAAUUUCUAUAUCUUAUAGAACAUUUUAUGCUAAAACUAGUAACAAGAGAAAACUCCCUCCUAAUGCAAACACAAGCCAGCAAGAACCCGUCACUGACAACUAACAGACCUAAACAAGAGUAGUAACACCCCUAGAAAACCCUACUCCUCACAACUGUUAACCUAACACCAGAGCAUUUCAGGAAAGAUUAAAAGAAAAAGAAGGAACUCGGCAAACACUAAUCCCGCCUGUUUACCAAAAACAUCGCCUCUUGUCCCCAUAAGAGGUCAAGCCUGCCCAGUGACUUUGUUCAACGGCCGCGGUAUCCUAACCGUGCAAAGGUAGCGUAAUCACUUGUUUUAUAAAUGAAGACCAGUAUGAAAGGCAUCACGAGGAUUAAACUGUCUCCUUUUUCCAAUCAGUGAAACUAAUCUCCCCGUGAAGAAGCGGGGGUUACCCUAUAAGACGAGAAGACCCUAUGGAGCUUAAAACAUUAUAACAUCUGCCACCAAACUUCAACCACUCAGAUGUCUCCCCAGAUGGCACUUUGAUUUUAUGUUUUCGGUUGGGGUGACCGCGGAGAAAAACUGAUCCUCCACGAUGAAAGGGGCCUUCCCCCUUAAACAAUAAGCUACACCUUUAUGUAUCAAUAAAUUGACAUCCAUUGACCCAAUAACUUGAUUAACGAACCAAGUUACCCUAGGGAUAACAGCGCAAUCCACUUCAAGAGCCCCUAUCGACAAGUGGGCUUACGACCUCGAUGUUGGAUCGGGGUACCCCGGUGGUGUAGCCGCUACUAAAGGUUCGUUUGUUCAACGAUUAAAACCCCACGUGAUCUGAGUUCAGACCGGAGCAAUCCAGGUCAGCUUCUAUCUAUAAAAGAGCUCUUUUCAGUACGAAAGGACCAAAAUAGCAUGGCCAAUACCCCCCUGCAAGCCAUAGUUAAUUAUUUUAGACCCACACUCAAAAAAUUAAUAACCUUACCCAACACCUCUAAAAAAGGGCA
rnacentral:rRNA from 1 species